rnacentral:rRNA from 1 species
UACAGAGGGUGCGAGCGUUAAUCGGAAUUACUGGGCGUAAAGCGCGCGUAGGCGGCUUUGCAAGCCGGAUGUGAAAUCCCCGGGCUUAACCUGGGAAUGGCGAUGGAGACUGCGAGGCUAGAGUUUGGCAGAGGGGGGUAGAAUUCCACGUGUAGCAGUGAAAUGCGUAGAGAUGUGGAGGAACACCGAUGGCGAAGGCAGCCCCCUGGGUCAAAACUGACGCUCAUGCACGAAAGCGUGGGGAGCAAACAGG